UACGAAGGGUGCAAGCGUUACUCGGAAUUACUGGGCGUAAAGCGUGCGUAGGUGGUUUGUUAAGUCUGAUGUGAAAGCCCUGGGCUCAACCUGGGAAUUGCAUUGGAUACUGCUCUGCUCGGGUGCGGAAGAGGGAAGCGGAAUUUCCGGUGUAGCGGUGAAAUGCGUAGAUAUCGGAAGGAACACCAGUGGCGAAAGCGGCUUCCUGGUCCGACACCGACGUUCAGGCACGAAAGCGUGGGGAGCAAACAGG
rnacentral:rRNA from 1 species